GUCGAGUUGCAGGUUUAGAAAACUAGAUCUCUCAUUGUACCUGCUGAAAAGGAAUUGCGUAUUUCCCCAAAACAGCAUGUCCACCGCUGAGGCCAUCUGCUGAGGAUAAACUAGCUAUAGAUUUGAAAGCCAAAGAGAAAAAUGCAAUAAUUGUCAUUAGGUGCAUUCUUAAGAAUCUGAAGUAAUUUGUGAGUUCCAAUGUAUCUGGUAACACACUUUGCCUUUUUAAUCACUAGCAUUUGUAUUAACAACCUUCAGGGUUGGCAAAGUCCACCUCAGGAGAAGAGGGAAGUGACAGCUGUCGAUUUAGCUUGCUAAUUCUGCCAUAACUUCCCUUUUAGAUUGGAGUGUAUCAGUGUGUUGCCAGUUCAUGUGGCAAAAGAUCCUAUACAAGAGAUUCUGUAGAGUAGGGAAAAAAAUUGUCCUGGCUGCUGGAACUGGAGGCUGAGAGCACCAGCACUUUUGGAAAUGUCAUGUGCUCAGCUUCAACAAUGUAAUCAUGUAGCCGUGCUCCACCCUUGGUCAGACCUGUUUAAGAUGUCUACAUCAUACCUACUAAACACAGGUUCAACUUCAAAUUAGUUUUACAAAACAGCCUCUUACAAGCUUACAGUAGCUUGAGGUUUACAGCACCACUUCCAGGACCAAUGGUACAUGACUAGUUAAUGGUGUUAGCCAGCUUUGCUAGUAACUGCUCUGGUAAAUGGUAUCUAUCUGCUGAGUUUCCGUCUUUUUCAGUAGCUUGGGGGCAGGAAUGAAGGGGGUGGGAAGUGUUUGGGUAACUCCGCUGGAGAACCAGUUCAAACCAUUUUGCCCAAGACUUGAAAAUUCUUGGCUAGUAAUGAGGAACACAAAGAUAUAAACAAGACUGUUGUUAGCAGUGCUCAUACAGUAAGUAAAACUUGUAAUAUACUUGUGAUUGACUAUUUAAUCAUAAAAUUUACUUAAUUUUCCCUAAUGUGCAAGCUAAGGGUGCCACUGCUAUGGAGUAUUAUGCUCUCUUUUAAUCCUCUUUAAGGCACUGUACAAUACCACUUGUUAGUGGUGUCAGUACUUACAAUGUUUUCUAGGGGUUUCAAAUUGAACUAUAAAGAUCCUCUGCGGGCUACAGCUGGGCUUAAAGUGUAUCUUGGAACAUUCUUAUUUUCUGUGGUCAAAGAUUUGAUUACAUGUAUUUGAGCUGAAUGCUUAAAUAAAUUUUUUUGUACCAAUUGAAGGGAUUUUCUCCUGCUUCUGUUAAUCACAGGAUCUUUUAGUAAGGAAGAGGAACGUUCCUUCAAGUACUACAAACUCUUAGUACCUGCUCAUCAUAGCAGAACACCAAUAGUGACGCUUCACUGAACAAAUUACUAAUGUUCAGCUAAAAACAUUCACAGAAAAAUUUAACUCUACCCUUGCAACUCUUUCUUUAUGUAGGCAGAGGUUACACAGAGCUUGCUUGUGAUUAUUAGCAACUCACUUUCAGCUGGGUUUUUAAAAAAGGACAGAUAAUGCAGGUAACAUUACAGAACGAAGCAAUAGUAAAACACUUGAGUACAGUUGGCUUAAUGUGCAUCUGCCUGUAAAGGCAUCCUAGAGGACUCAUGUUACUAAAAUGCUCCCCUUAUUGAGGUUAUGUGAGAGAAGUCAAAUAGAGUUUAGCAGUUUACAGGUCAUGUCACAAGAACAGCUGUCUAGCCAGACGUAAGAACUUUAUUUUCUUGGUUGCAAUGUUACUGCCUCAAAGGAAACAUGCAAGGAGAUUGCAUAUUAACGUAUGAAGAUCAAAUACAGUGUGCCCCUUCAUGUAACAGCAGAGGAAAGCUUAUCUUACCUCCUAGUACAGAAAAGUGUGUCAUAGUAAAUAACACCAAGACUGGUAAUUUGUUGAUAGUUUUCCUCUGCAAUACAGGAGCUUCUUCACUUCUAAACUUCUUGCAAGUAGAAUCUUUAAUGGUCUAACAAAGAAAUGAAGAAUCCUUUUCUACAGGAAUCAGACUACAGAAAUAGACGCUUAGUGGUUCUUCUGUUGGUUCAGAAGAAUUAAAUAGUUAUGUUCACCUGUAAGCACAGUUUCAGUAUUUUUCCCUAAGUAUUAAUAUGUCAAGCUUUAACUUAAAUACUGUGUGUUAACAAAGGCUUUGUCUGAUCCAGUAACUUGUACAUGUUUUUUGUUAAUUUCUUUCGCAUAAAGUUUCCUUCAAGGAAAAGCUAGAAACCAGCUGCCAUAAAUAUAUGCCAAAGGUCUAGUGCUAGUCAUGCAAGUAAGUGAUUAUCUUCAGGUACUAAGCCUUAACUAGUAGUUCCCACUGUAAUACUACAUUUCAAAGGAACUAAGUCACAUAUCUGUACCAAAUAGUUUCUGGCCAUUCAAACUAUUCAUAAUAUAGUUCACCUCUCUUCAGUACUUUUCUUUAAAGGUCUUUAUAUGAGUUCUGCAGUAAAAUUUGAGGUGAAUCAUUUCCUUAUGCUAACUGAAGACUUGAAGCUUCACGUUACAAACACCAAAGACAUGUCCAGGAAAUUCCUUCUAGACAGUGAGUAACCACUGAUCUUUCUUUAAAGCUGUAGUUGCCUGACAGCCAGGACAUCAUUAAGGGCUGAGCUGGAGUUGAGGGGUAAUCAGAAAGCUGGAAUAAUCAUUGAAGCCUUAAGAAAUAAAUACCUGUUGUCCAUUGCUGCCCCCUUACCAUAGCAGAGCAGUGACCAACGUACAGACAUUGACAUAAUAGUGGUGGGCUUAGGCAUGUGACUUUGACAAGUCACUUCCUUCGGUUCCCAGGCUUCAUUCUCUUCCCUCAUGUCACUGUUCACUUAUGUGGAAAUGUUUAAUUGCAUCAAUGUAAAAAAGAAUCAGGCCUGCCCAGAAGACUUUUAGUAAAAUGAGAACUAUGUAAAAUACAAAGUAAGCUAAUUUUCAUUGUUGACAGUUACAGAAAUCAUUUUGAUGUCUGCAGGGGGGAAACCAAACACCAAAAAUUCUUCCUUAAAGGCACUGCUUCUGUAGCCGUAAUGAGUCUUGAGAACUGCUUGUGAUUGGUACAUGUAACCAUUUCACCCAAGGGUCACUACUCAAGCAAUGAUGCAACAACGGAUCUGCAUCGGCGUUUCCACUCCUGCUGAACUGUCACCAAGGAAAUGAUGCUACCUCGUGAUCCGCUGUGCUACUGAACCAGCCUGAGCAGGUUCUGAGCUAUACAAAUGUAGUUUCCAGCAUCUCUGGCUUCAAAACCCUCAACAAGAAGAAUACUCUUUGAGAUUCUUGUGUGAAUUCUCUGAUGGACUGUUUAUCAGGUCACACUCCCUGGCACCGCACAAAUUUGCAAAGGCCUGCAUGCCAUAAACUGGCCCAAAGAUAGAAUAAGGCAGUCUCUUCCCUUCCAAAAGCCAUUAUGCUAGUCAGCAGCUUCCAUCAAUAACCUGGAUAAAACUGACACUGACUGGCACUGAAGACAUUACCUUUACAAAGCACACACCAUUUCAGCCAGGGCAUGCAUCUCUUACCUCUUGCCCUGGGUACUGCCACCUGAAGUUCACAUCUACAUCCGGCUCACCAAGGACUGUGCAGAUUACGUGAAUGCUGUCACUGACAUCUGCUCUGCUGGAUGAUGCUGAAAUUGUGGUUGAGGGCGGGCCCUUGGGAACUAAGAGAAAGUGUUUGGAAGAAGAAAAUUAGUUUCUGAAGUUAAAUACACUGAUAAAGCUUAA